UGCUCAGCAUGUCUUUGUUGUUGUAUAACUUUCUCAGGUAUAAAAGAACAAAAGAUUACAAGGUUAGGAUUCCUAUAUCUCGAUUCAAGAACCGAACUCUGACUCCAAUACAUUGUGUGGAAACUCCCUUCUUCGUAUGGUUUCUACAUACAGAGCAAGUCAACUGGUCAUGAGAUGAGGGACAUCUGG
rnacentral:sRNA from 1 species